rnacentral:rRNA from 1 species
GACGUAGGGGGCGAGCGUUGUCCGGAUUUAUUGGGCGUAAAGCGCGCGCAGGCGGUUCGGAAAGUCGGGUGUGAAAACCCGGGGCUCAACCCCGGACCUGCAUCCGAUACUCCCGGACUGGAGGCAGGUAGGGGAGAGCGGAAUUCCCGGUGUAGCGGUGAAAUGCGCAGAUAUCAGGAGGAACACCGGUGGCGAAGGCGGUUCUCUGGGCCUUACCUGACACUGAGGAGCGAAAGCGUGGGGAGCGAACAGG